GACGAACGCUGGCGGCGUGCUUAACACAUGCAAGUCGAACGGAAAGGCCCUGCUUUUGUGGGGUGCUCGAGUGGCGAACGGGUGAGUAACACGUGAGUAACCUGCCCUUGACUUUGGGAUAACUUCAGGAAACUGGGGCUAAUACCGGAUAGGAGCUCCUGCUGCAUUGUGGGGGUUGGAAAGUUUCGGCGGUUGGGGAUGGACUCGCGGCUUAUCAGCUUGUUGGUGGGGUAGUGGCUUACCAAGGCUUUGACGGGUAGCCGGCCUGAGAGGGUGACCGGGCACAUUGGGACUGAGGUACGGCCCAGACUCCUACGGGAGGCAGCAGUAGGAAAUAUUGCACAAUGGGCCGAAGCCUGAUGCAGCAACGCCGCGUGCGUGAUGACGGCCUUCGGGGUGUAAACCGCUUUCGCCUGUGACGAAGCGUGAGUGACGGUAAUGGGUAAAGAAGCACCGGCUAACUACGUG
rnacentral:rRNA from 1 species